UCCUAAGCUUUCUUCCAUCCAUCCUGGUUAAGGCUCAGCUUCCUGAUACCCUUAACCUUCUUAUUUGAGCCAUGAUACGCUUGUCCUUUGGCCAAAUGACCUGUCUGGUGCGUCUCCUCGCACCAUGGCUCGUCCCAACGAUCCUACCUAGGAUCGGCGAUGCUACAUCCCUAGUCAUUAAUAGCCUAGAUCCUUUCAACAGAUACGCAGCGGAUUAUUCUGUAAGUAACCAUUGGUCUAAAACCAAUCUAACACUUGGCUGGUCGAAUCACCUUAGCCUUGGUCAGUUUACUCAACUACCAAU
rnacentral:lncRNA from 1 species